CCUGGUUGAUCCUGCCAGUAGUCAUAUGCUUGUCUCAAAGAUUAAGCAAUGCAAGUGUAAGUAUGAACUAUUUCAGAUUGUGAAACUGCGAAUGGCACAUUAAAUCAGUUAUAGUUUGUUUGAUGGUACGUGCUACUCGGAUAACCAUAGUAAUUCUAGAGCUAAUACGUGCAACAAACCCCGACAUCCGGAAGGGAUGCAUUUAUUAGAUAAAAGGCUGACGUGGGCUUUGCCCGCUGCUCCGAUGAUUCAUGAUAACUCAACGGAUUGCACGGCCCUCGUGCCGGCGACACAUCAUUCAAAUUUCUGCCCUAUCAACUUUCGAUGGUAGGAUAGGGGCCUACCAUGGUGGUGACGGGUGACGGAGAAUUAGGGUUCGAUUCGGAGAGGGAGCCUGAGAAACGGCUACCACAUCCAAGGAAGGCAGCAAAGCGCGCCAAAUUACCCAAUCGACACGGGGGAGGUAGUGACAAUAAAUAACAAUACGGGCUCUUCGAGUGCGGUAAUUGGAAUGAGUACAAUCUAAAUCCCUUUAACGAGGAUCCAUUGGAGGGCAAGUCCGGUGCCGCCCGGUAUGGUAAUUCCAGCUCCAAUAGCGUAUAUUUAAGUUGUUGCGUUUAAAAAGCUCAUAGUUGGACUUUGGGGCGAAUCGGUCGGUCGGUCCUCGCGCGGUGUGCACCGGUCGUCCCAUCCCUUCUGUCGGCGAUCGUGCCUGGCCUUAAUCUGGCGGGUCGUGCCUCCGGCUAUUGUUACUUUGAAGAAAUUAGAGUGCUCAAAGCAAGCCCACGCUGGAUACAUUAGCAUGGGAUAACAUCACAGGAUUUCGGUCCUAUUGUGUUGGCCUUGGGAUCGAGUAAUGAUUAAGAUGGACGGUGAUCGGGGCAUUCGUAUUUCAUAGUCGAGGUGAAAUUCUUGGAUUUAUGAAAGAUGAACCACUGCGAAAAGAAUUUGCCAAGGAUGUUUUCAUUAAUCAAGAACGAAAGUUGGGGGCUCGAAGACGAUCAGAUACCGUCCUAGUCUCAACCAUAAACGAUGCCGGGGGGAGUAUGGUCGCAAGGCUGAAACUUAAAGGAAUUGACGGAAGGGCACCACCAGGAGUGGAGCACCAGCGGCUUAAUUUGACUCAACACGGGAAACUUACCAGGUCCGAGAGAUAGCAAGGAUUGACGACCGAGAGCUCUUUCUUGAUUCUAUGGGUGGUGGUGCAUGGCCGUUCUUCGUUGGUGGAAGCGAUUUGUCCGGUUAAUUCCGAUAACUGAACGAGACCUCCGCGGCCAGCUUCUUAGAGGGACUAUGGCGUUUAGGCCACGGAAGUUUGAGGCAAUAACAGGUCCGUGAUGCCCUUCGAUGUUCUGGGCGCCGCACGCUUCUGCUCGAUGUAUUCAACGAGUCUAUAGCCUUGGCCGACGGGCCCGGAUAAUCUUUUGAAAAUUUCAUCGUGAUAGGGAUAGAUCAUUGCAAUUGUUGGUCUUCAACGAGGAAUUCCUAGUAAGCGCGAGUCAUCAGCUUCGCGUUGACUACGCCCCUGCCCUUUGUACACACCGCCCGUCGCUCCUACCGAUUGAAUGGUCCGGUGAAGUGUUCGGAUCGAGGCGACGGGGCGGUUCGCCGCCCGGACGACGUCGCGAAGUCCACUAAACCUUAUCAUUUAGAGGAAGGAGAAGUCGUAACAAGGUUUCCGUAGGUAAACCCGCGGAAG
rnacentral:rRNA from 1 species